rfam:Heligmosomoides polygyrus genome assembly, scaffold: HPBE_scaffold0004108
AUUGCUUCUCGGCCUUUUGGCUAAGAUCAAAGUUUAGUUUCUGUUCUUAUCGAAUUAACCUUCGGUAGAGAUUCGAAUGAAUCUCGUUAAGGUUAUUUGAUUUUUGAGACCGGACGGGGUCGUGGGCGUGCUCGGGCCCCGUCACGGGUCGGCCCAGUGUACUACUGCUGCGGCCGGUUUCAUCAAC